AGACUUGAAAAUUAUCAACCAACCUGACCUAAUUGGCAUUAAUAGAAGACUCUACCAACACAGAAGAAUAAAUAUUUUUCUCAAGUGCAUAGGGAACGUACACCAAAAUAAGACCAUACACUGAGCCACAAAAUAAAUCUCAAUAAAUUCAAAAGGAUUUCAAUCAUACAGAAUGUGUUCUCUGGCCAUAACAAAAUUACAUUAAAAGUAAAAAACAGCCAUAUAUGAAAAUAACUUGUGUCUAGGAAUUAACAUAGUUUUAAAUAAUUCAUGGUCAAAGAAAAUAUCACAAGAGAAAUUAGAAAAUACUUAAAACUGAAUAAAAAUGAAAGCACAACAUAUCAAAAUGUAUAAGGGUAUGGCUAAAGUAGUGCUUAGCAAAGAAUGUGUACUUAUAAAAAAACAAUUCAGGUGUGGUGACACAUGCCUGUGGUCCCAGCUACUCAGGAGGCUGAGGUGGGAGCAUCGCUUGAGCCUGGGGGGGUCGAGGCUGCAGUGAGCCAUGAUUGCAACACUGCACUCCAACCUGGGCAACAAAAUGAGAUCCCAUUUAAAAAAAAAUUGAUUUUCUAAUUAAAAACCUUCCCACAAAGAAACCUCUCAACCCAGAUGAAUUCUGGUGAAUUCUAUCAUUGUUCCAUCCAGCUGAACCCAUAGCUAGAGUUUCCCCAAAAGUAAUGGCAGGGGAAUUCCUUCAAGGGUCUACUCCAGACCUUCUGGAUAUGGGGCUGGUUCGAAUUCCAAAGAAAGAGGCACUAAACACCAAGGUGAUCAGUCCAAAACAUGUAUUAGGGCAAUUUAUAGCCUGAUGCAGUGAUCAUUGCAUUGAACAGUGAGAGAAAGAGAGGUUCUGCCUAAGUAUGUCUGUAAGGAAGGGGAUCAGGUUAUGGAGUUGAUAUGAGGGUUUAAGGAAUUUGGCUCAGAGUAAGAGCUAGUUUUUUCUACAUGUUUAGCAAUGUGU
rnacentral:lncRNA from 1 species